UACGUAGGGGGCAAGCGUUGUCCGGAAUCAUUGGGCGUAAAGAGCGCGUAGGCGGCCCGGUAAGUCCGUUGUAAAAGUCAAAGGCUCAACCUUUGAAUGCCGAUGGAUACUGCCGGGCUAGAGUCCGGAAGAGGCGAGUGGAAUUCCUGGUGUAGCGGUGGAAUGCGCAGAUAUCAGGAGGAACACCGAUAGCGAAGGCAGCUCGCUGGGACGGUACUGACGCUAAGGCGCGAAAGCGUGGGGAGCGAACAGG
rnacentral:rRNA from 1 species